rnacentral:rRNA from 1 species
AGAGUUUGAUCAUGGCUCAGAACGAACGCUGCGGCAUCCUAACNNAUGCAAGUCGAACGAGACCUUCGGGUCUAGUGGCGCACGGGUGCGUAACGCGUGGGACCUGCCCUUAGGUUCGGAAUAACUCCUCGAAAGGGGUGCUAAUACCGGAUAAUGUCUUCGGACCAAAGAUUUAUCGCCUUUGGAUGGGCCCGCGUUGGAUUAGCUAGUUGGUGGGGUAAAGGCCUACCAAGGCGACGAUCCAUAGCUGGUCUUAGAGGAUGAUCAGCCACACUGGGACUGAGACACGGCCCAGACUCCUACGGGAGGCAGCAGUGGGGAAUAUUGGACAAUGGGCGAAAGCCUGAUCCAGCAAUGCCGCGUGAGUGAUGAAGGCCUUAGGGUUGUAAAGCUCUUUUACCCGGGAUGAUAAUGACAGUACCGGGAGAAUAAGCCCCGGCUAACUCCGUGCCAGCAGCCGCGGUAAUACGGAGGGGGCUAGCGUUGUUCGGAAAUACUGGGCGUAAAGCGAACGUAGGCGGCUUAGCAAGUCAGGGGUGAAAUCCCAGAGCUCAACUCUGGAACUGCCUUUGAAACUGCUUCGCUUGAAUCCUGGAGAGGCGAGUGGAAUUCCGAGUGUAGAGGUGAAAUUCGUAGAUAUUCGGAAGAACACCAGUGGCGAAGGCGACUCGCUGGACAGGUAUUGACGCUGAGGUUCGAAAGCGUGGNNACAAACAGGAUUAGAUACCCUAGUAGUCC